UACGUAGGGUGCGAGCGUUGUCCGGAAUUAUUGGGCGUAAAGGGCGCGUAGGCGGCUUUGCGUGUCUUUCGUGAAAUCCCUCGGCUCAACUGAGGACGUGCGGAAGAAACUGCAGGGCUGGAGUCCGGGAUAGGAGGGUGGAAUUCCCAGUGUAGCGGUGAAAUGCGUAGAUAUUGGGAGGAACACCGGUGGCGAAGGCAGCCCCCUGGGUCAACACUGACGCUCAUGCACGAAAGCGUGGGGAGCAAACAGG
rnacentral:rRNA from 1 species